GCUUUAACCUCCAACUGGAACUCUGCCCAAAGAGAAGCAAACGCCAGUAGUCCAUGUUUAUUUUCGGACUUCUGCAAUCUGAUUCCUCUCAUUUGUGUGAAGACACGCCGGUGAACCGUACAUAAUUGGGUUCGCUUUGUUGACCAGGAUAAUUUCUAUCAAUAUAUCAAUGACGCUCCUACCUCUGAGGUAAGGUUUUAAGGAGGUUACGCAUAACGAGCGUCUGCUGGCCACCAUGGUCAGGGUAUUUUCAUACUGGAUAACGUCCAAGCGCCUGACUCGGAGCUAUUUUUUGGUUUUGAUCUAGCUGUUUCCACCUCUGACGGCCAAAGAAACUCUCGCCAUUCUCUUCUAAUAUCUGUUUUUAACUUUUGUGACUUGACCAAGGUUUGCAAUAAAGAUGUAUGGCAUGUGC